AGCAGCCGCGGUAAUUCCAGCUCCAAUAGCGUAUAUUAAAGUUGUUGCAGUUAAAAAGCUCGUAGUUGAAUUUCGGGGUCAGUAGAUUGGUCGUGCCACCGGUAUGUACUGGUCUUACUGGCUCCUCCUUCCUGAUGAACCGUAAUGCCAUUAAUUUGGUGUUGCGGGGAAACUGGACUGUUACUUUGAAAAAAUUAGAGUGUUUAAAGCAGGCUAACGCUUGAAUACAUUAGCAUGGAAUAAUGAAAUAGGACGUUCGAUCUUAUUUUGUUGGUUUCUAGGAUUGACGUAAUGAUUAAUAGGGAUAGUUGGGGGCAUUAGUAUUCAAUUGUCAGAGGUGAAAUUCUUGGAUUUAUUGAAGACUAACUACUGCGAAAGCAUUUGCCAAGGAUGUUUUCAUUAAUCAAGAGCGAAAGUUAGGGGAUCGAAGACGAUCAGAUACCGUCGUAGUCUUAACCAUAAACUAUGCCGACUAGGGAUCGGAUGAUGUUAAUUUUUUAAUGACUCAUUCGGCGCCUUA
rnacentral:rRNA from 1 species